rnacentral:lncRNA from 1 species
CACGAGCGUUGAAAUGUAUUGUGUUGUAGUUUUGUUUGAAUCGUAUUCUGAAGACGUUUUUGGCUUUAUUUUGCAAACUGAUAGUGCUAGUAAUGAUGGAAUGUCUUCGUAUGAAGACAAGUAUCUCAACCUGGCAUUGGGAGUCGUGUCUGGAGUUUCAAGGCAAGUAUUUAUAUCAUUUCUAGACAAUUUCUAUUUCAAUGUUUUGCCGUUGCCAUGGCGUUGUAAAUUUAUUUGUAUUUAGUAUAGCUUCACUAGUACGACCAAGUAUGUCCUCAUAUCGCUUUUUUGUGUUGAAAUAAUCGUUUCAUACUGAAAUUGACAAAUAUAAAUGGUAUUUAUUUAUUUUGUUGACGAAAAUUUAUGGUGUUUUAGGCAUAAAAAUCUCUGAUUCCUAGGCGAAGUAAAAUGAGCCUUGAGCACAUGUUUGCUUGUUUGUUACAUACAUAAUAGCCAAGUAUUCAUACUUAUAUCUUACUAGUUGGCUCUUAUUAUAAUUUUAAGUGGCACCAUGUCUAUAAAAGUUUUUAUUCGCAUUGAUCCUGUUCCUAUCUGCUGUUCCUGUUUCAUAGCCUCAGGGAAGUAGAGUUCUGAUGAGUCAUGAGAACCCCACUCACCAACCCAGAGGGAAGGUAGGGGGAUGAGUAGAGGUAGAGGGAAGCCCAGCCAUUAGGACCUAAGGUUUCGAAAGCUCCCUGUCUAGCAUCCCCACUAGGCCCCAUAGUACAUGAUGGAUAUGAUGAUCCUGACGCCAGGAAUGUUCUCCCAGAUUUUGCUCCUCACUGACAUGUCCGGGAUCCAUUUCGAUCAACUGUGAGCUUGAGUUCAUUUGGCUCAAUGAACUGUGAGCUUGAGUUCAUUCGACUCUUUUUUACUAAGGGAAUGUUUCAGGAGUUAGUUACAAUCCUGGCCAUACCAAUACAUAUGCCCACAUACAAAUAACUGAAAAGUUAUCCCCAUAUACUAAUAAAAAAGGGUCUUGCAGUCCACCAACCUUGAGAGGUUGAUUGCCUUUUAGUAUAAUAUGCAGGUUUGCUAAAGGUCGACAGUGAGAUUGAAAAUUAUUGGAGUGUAAAAACCUUAUAAUUUAUCAUGGUCUGUGGGCAAUAGACAUAAUUUCUCGGGUUAGGUACAAAGCGCUUAUGGCGUUUGUGAAUAUGGUAGAUCCUGUACUAAAGACUACAGCAAUAAACUGCAUCAACAACUGUACCAGCCGUCAUAGAAUAUUGUUGUUGCAGACAAAAACACUGUCAAAUCAAGAAAUAGGUUGGGGGUUAGGCAGUUCAUGAAAGCUAGAUGACCUACUAUGUGGGGAAUAAAUCUGUGGGUUGCUGUAGACAAUCCUAAUGCUUAUAUUGCAACUUUGAAAUUUAUACAGGAAGAAGUCCAGAUAUUCAUUGCAACAGAUUUGGGUAUGACGUGGUGAUCUGAUAUCAGUUUGGUUACAGUCUUAGGUCUUUUGUAAUACAAUAUAAAGGAAAUAUUUUCACCACAUAAUCCAAUUAUGUGCUUUGGCAAACAUUACUGCUUUAGCAAACAUUACUGCUUUGGAAAACAUUACUUUUUUAUAACUACUAAUUAUGAUGAUGCCAGCCCAACAACACUUGGUCAUGCUAUUUGCAAAUAUUUUCAUGUUCUAGAUUGUGAAAACAAUCAAUUUCUAAACAAAUGAGUAGUGAUUAUUUCAAAUUUGAAUAGCAUGACCAAAUUUUGAGGCUGGUUAUGCCACUAAUAACUAAAGUCAAU